UACGGGGGAUGCAAGUGUUAUCCGGAAUCACUGGGCGUAAAGCGUCUGUAGGUGGUUUAAUAAGUCAACUGUUAAAUCUUGAGGCUCAACCUCAAAAUCGCAGUCGAAACUAUUAGACUAGAGUAUAGUAGGGGUAAAGGGAAUUUCCAGUGGAGCGGUGAAAUGCGUAGAGAUUGGAAAGAACACCGAUGGCGAAGGCACUUUACUGGGCUAUUACUAACACUCAGAGACGAAAGCUAGGGUAGCAAAUGGG
rnacentral:rRNA from 1 species